rnacentral:lncRNA from 10 species
GAGGAGGGACCUGGUGGGAGAUGAUUGGAUCAUAGGAGUGGAUUUCCCCGUUCUCUUCUCAUGAUAGUGAGUGAGUUCUCAGGAGAUCUGGUUGUUUAAACGUGUGUAGCACUUCCCCCUUAGCUCUCAGUGUCCUGCUCUGACAUGUGAAGACCUACCUGCUUCCCCUUUGCCUUCUGCCAUGACUGUAAGUUUCCUGAGCCCUCCCAGCCAUGCUUCCUGUACCGCCGUGGGAAAUGCAUGCUGUAAAUACCUGACUGAUCUUACAGUGAGGAGAAUAUAGGAUGGAAUGGAUAUAAGAGCAAUCCCAUUAAAGACUACCUGUGGCUAUUAGUCACCUUCCAAACAAAAGAUGCUGAGUUCUCUAAAUUGCUUUAUGUGAGAUGUAACACAAAACCACAUGCUUCUCUGCUUUCUUAGGCUUCUGAAUUGGGCCCGCCCUGGAGCUUAAUAAGCAAGCACUGAGAGCUUAUUUAUGCAUUAGAACAUGGAAAAACUCCAUUUAAAACCCCUUCUCAAGAUUCAGCUGGUUGUCAGAAUGACACAUCUGCUCAGCUAUCCACUCAUGCCCACCUGCUUAUCCAGCUUCCCAUACUCAUGCACCAAGGCAUCAGGGUAGAUAAAGAGGCUGGGAAGUUCAAGGGCAUAGGCCUGACUUCUGGCAAGAGCUUUUGUGCUGCAUUAUCACACGGUGGAGAAUCUCAAAGACGAAGCAGACAGGUGUGAAGACAUCACAUGGCAAGACAGGAUGCAAGAGAGUGAAACCGAAGAGGCCAGACACUUUUUAAUAACCUACUUUCUCAAGAACUAAUCCAUCCCCAUGAGUGAGCAAGAACUCACUCACCCCAGCAGGAGGUUAUUAAUGUACUCGUGAGGGAUCCCUCCAUGACCUAAAAAACUCCGACUAGGCUCCACCUCCCAAUACAACCACGCUUGGGGAUGAAAUUUCAACAUGAGUUUCAGGGGAAACAAACAAAUCAUAUCCAAACCAUAGCAGUAUCCAUUUAUAUCUGGUUUCCUUAAUAAAAUGACAUGGAGCACCCUCCAAAUAGCAUAAAUAUGCAUACCCUAGUUAUGUGCAUAUUUUCAAUUCACUGAACAACCUUCAGUUUCAACAAAGAAACUGUUUAUUUUUUAUUUGUUUAUUUUUCUCUGUACAAAAAGCUUGCUGUGAGUCUGUCUCCCCCAGGAGAAAAAUAAAUAAAUUUCAUGACUUUGUAAUUGUCAUCUUAAAAACUUUCUUGCCUUCAUUUAGUUAUUUAAGAAAAAAAUCUUUGCAAUGCAUCAAGUACUGUUUAUGUCAUUGUAAAGGCUGGAAAAACAUCAACUAAUUGUCAGGGAAAAAUUCAGUUUAUAUUCAAAGUUUCCAACAUUAAAUAUUGUGAAAAUGCAAAGAAGCCCUUCUACUUUCACUUCUCACUUGUAGGAUUUAGAUCUACUGUCUAAAAUAUGAUAAAAUAUUGGGUGACAAAUUUCCUUUGAAUACAAGGUGUGGAAACUAAAAAAAAAAUGUGAUUCAGUUCUCUCUUGUAACCUAGAUAUAAAUAAUGCCUGGAUUAAAAUUCUUAGCACAUUCAGAGAACUUCAAGUAGUUCAUGGUGGCCAUAAUGUGUAGGUUAGAAUCCUGGGCUCUAGCGGUAGGCUAGCUUGUUUUUGAAUCCCACCCAGCUAUGCCACUAACUGGUUUCAUGACUAUGAGCCA